rnacentral:rRNA from 1 species
CAGCAGCCGCGGUAAUACGUAGGUGGCAAGCGUUAUCCGGAAUUAUUGGGCGUAAAGCGCGCGUAGGCGGUUUCUUAAGUCUGAUGUGAAAGCCCACGGCUCAACCGUGGAGGGUCAUUGGAAACUGGGAAACUUGAGUGCAGAAGAGGAAAGUGGAAUUCCAUGUGUAGCGGUGAAAUGCGCAGAGAUAUGGAGGAACACCAGUGGCGAAGGCGACUUUUUGGUCUGUAACUGACGCUGAUGUGCGAAAGCGUGGGGAUCAAACAGGAUUAGAUACCCCUGUAGUCCCUGUCUCUUAUAC